UACGUAGGGUGCGAGCGUUGUCCGGAAUUAUUGGGCGUAAAGAGCUCGUAGGCGGUUUGUCGCGUCUGCUGUGAAAAACUCGGGGCUUAACCCCCGGGGCCUGCAGUGGGUACGGGCAGACUAGAGUGCGGUAGGGGAGACUGGAAUCCUGGUGUAGCGGUGAAAUGCGCAGAUAUCAGGAGGAACACCGGUGGCGAAGGCGGGUCUCUGGGCCGAACUGACGCUGGAGGAGCGAAAGCGUGGGGGAGCGAACAGGA
rnacentral:rRNA from 1 species